rnacentral:rRNA from 1 species
GCAAUGCCGCGUGCAGGAUGAAGGCCUUCGGGUUGUAAACUGCUUUUGUACGGAACGAAACGGUGAGCUCUAAUACAGCUUGCUAAUGACGGUACCGUAAGAAUAAGCACCGGCUAACUACGUGCCAGCAGCCGCGGUAAUACGUAGGGUGCGAGCGUUAAUCGGAAUUACUGGGCGUAAAGCGUGCGCAGGCGGUGAUGUAAGACAGAUGUGAAAUCCCCGGGCUCAACCUGGGACCUGCAUUUGUGACUGCAUCGCUAGAGUACGGUAGAGGGGGAUGGAAUUCCGCGUGUAGCAGUGAAAUGCGUAGAUAUGCGGAGGAACACCGAUGGCGAAGGCAAUCCCCUGGACCUGUACUGACGCUCAUGCACGAAAGCGUGGGGAGCAAACAGGAUUAAAUACCCUGGUAGUCCACGCCCUAAACGAUGUCAACUGGUUGUUGGGUCUUCACUGACUCACUAACGAAGC